CCUACGGGCGGCUGCAGUGAGGAAUAUUGGUCAAUGGGCGAGAGCCUGAACCAGCCAAGUCGCGUGAAGGAUGACGGCCCUACGGGUUGUAAACUUCUUUUGUCAGGGAGCAAUUGGGUCCACUCGUUGGCUUAGCGAGAGUACCUGAAGAAAAAGCAUCGGCUAACUCCGUGCCAGCAGCCGCGGUAAUACGGAGGAUGCGAGGGUUAUCCGGAUUUAUUGGGUUUAAAGGGAGCGUAGAUGGGUUGUUAAGGCAGUUGGGAAAGUUUGCGGCUCAACCGUAAAAUUGCAAUUGGUACUGGCAGUCUUGAGUACAGUUGAGGUAGGCGGAAUUCGUGGUGUAGCGGUGAAAUGCUUAGAUAUCACGAAGAACUCCGAUUGCGAAGGCAGCUUACUAAACUGCCACUGACAUUGAUGCUCGAAAGUGUGGGUAUCAAACAGGAGUAGAUACCCUGGUAGUC
rnacentral:rRNA from 1 species